GUGGGAAUAGCUCAGUGGUAGAGCACAUGCUUAGCAUACAUAAGGUCCUGGGUUCAAACACCAGUACCUCCA
rfam:Camelus ferus unplaced genomic scaffold scaffold757, whole genome shotgun sequence.